rnacentral:tRNA from 1 species
GGUGAGGCCUUGGCUCAGUGGAAGAGCAGCUGCGUGGCAUGCAGAAUGUCCCGGGUUCAACCCCCAGCGUCUCUG